AGAGUUUGAUCAUGGCUCAGGAUGAACGCUAGCGGCAGGCCUAAUACAUGCAAGUCGAGGGGUAGAGUUAGCUUGCUAGCUUGAGACCGGCGCACGGGUGCGUAACGCGUAUGCAACCUACCUUAAUCAGGGGGAUAGCCCGAAGAAAUUCGGAUUAACACCGCAUAAAAUCACAGAAUAGCAUUAUUCAAUGAUCAAAUAUUUAUAGGAUUAAGAUGGGCAUGCGUGUCAUUAGCUAGUUGGCGGGGUAACGGCCCACCAAGGCGACGAUGACUAGGGGAUCUGAGAGGAUGACCCCCCACACUGGUACUGAGACACGGACCAGACUCCUACGGGAGGCAGCAGUAAGGAAUAUUGGUCAAUGGAGGCAACUCUGAACCAGCCAUGCCGCGUGCAGGAAGACUGCCCUAUGGGUUGUAAACUGCUUUUAUCUGGGAAUAAACCUAUUUACGUGUAAAUAGCUGAAUGUACCAGAAGAAUAAGGAUCGGCUAACUCCGUGCCAGCAGCCGCGGUAAUACGGAGGAUCCAAGCGUUAUCCGGAUUUAUUGGGUUUAAAGGGUGCGUAGGCGGCCUGUUAAGUCAGAGGUGAAAGACGGUAGCUCAACUAUCGCAGUGCCUUUGAUACUGAUGGGCUUGAAUGGACUAGAGGUAGGCGGAAUGAGACAAGUAGCGGUGAAAUGCAUAGAUAUGUCUCAGAACACCGAUUGCGAAGGCAGCUUACUAUGGUUUUAU
rnacentral:rRNA from 1 species